CAAAAGCUUCCUGGAACUGCUGACCUCCCUGAUUGGGGGGUGGUGUUGGGUGUAGAUGAUCUCAGUCUGUUCUCUGAAAUCUCAUCUUCCUGUAUUGAGUUCUCUGGAUUCUAGCCAGCCCUCUGGUCUAGUACUAACCAAAACAAACAAAAAGGGUUUCUAAGACCUUCCUUGAGAGCAGUUAGGUCCAAGCACAUCUCCUUUCACCUUUCAUAUUGGACUAUCCUGGCCGCAACAAUUAAAACCCUUCUCUUAAAGAAUUCCUUCUCUCUACAUGGCAGUGGUGGUAGGCUCAGUGCUGGCCAAUCAGGAUGGACCCUGGCUUCAAACAACCAAGGCUGCCAUUUGUACUCUUGCCCAGGCAAGUGUAAGGGACAGUCUUGGAUUGGAUUCUCUGCCUCUACAGGACAUCUGGGCUUUGCUAGACAACCCUUAGAGACACAGCCUCUUCACCCAAGGAAGAGCUGUCCUAACCAGAGCAGGGCAUGUGCUGUGGCAGAAGACCUACAUCAGCACUGAACCUGUUUUUCCCAACCAAAAGAAAUCUGAAGAGGAUUUUUGCUUUUAUAUAAAAAAAAAGGAAAAAGAAAAAAAAAAAAAAGGUGCACCCCAAGCAGCAAGAGUGGCACCACCAACCUCCUUCUUUAGGAACCACAUUCUGCAUCUCAACACCCAGCUGCCAUAGCUUUGACUGUGUCUGUGAGCGUCUGAAUUUUAUCUAGAUUUAUUUUCUCAGCAAGAUGUGUCCUAAGGUAUCAGAAAAGCCUAAGAGAGCUCAGUGUUAAACUGGAUGUAAUUAAGUGUUUUGAUUGUGGUGAAGGAAAUAAAGACAUUGGAUGUGCAUCGA